rnacentral:rRNA from 1 species
UACGUAGGGGGCAAGCGUUAACCGGAUUUACUGGGUGUAAAGGGAGCGUAGACGGCUGUGCAAGUCAGAAGUGAAAGCCCGGGGCUCAACCGCGGGACUGCUUUUGAAACUGUGUAGCUAGGGUGCAGGAGAGGUAAGUGGAAUUCCUAGUGUAGCGGUGAAAUGCGUAGAUAUUAGGAGGAACACCGGUGGCGAAGGCGGCUUACUGGACUGUAACUGACGUUGAGGCUCGAAAGCGUGGGGAGCAAACAGG